rnacentral:rRNA from 1 species
CAGGAAGAGGGUUAGAGUGUAGAGAGAGUCGGCAAGCAGGAAGAGGGUUAGAGUGUAGAAAGAGUCGGCCUCGUCGCGGACUGGGUGACGCGACGGCGGGGUGGGUGACGCGGUGGCGGGAGCGGGCACCCUGUGCAGGCGAGGGUUUGGCACGGAGGCGGCGGAGGGAGAGGGGUAGGAGGGGCAGGAGGGGGAGGCUGGGUGGGGCGAGAGUGGCCUCUGCCUCGUCCAGUCUAGGUAGGCGGGUUAGCGAGCGAGCGCGCGGCCCUGCUGCUGCUGCUGGAGCGGAGGCGCACGUACACGAGCGCUUGCCGACUGGUCUAGCUCGCGCGGUCGGACUAACGAGGCAGCGCGGCAGCAGCCCCGUCCACGUGCGUGCGCAGGUCGCCGCUUGGGAUCAACAUGGAGCCUCGCCUCUGCCGCGGAAGGGCUUGUGGAGACAGACCGUGUUCGGGGAGACUUCUAUUCUACACGCCGUUCACUCUAUCAACCAGUCCACUUUCAGUCGUAAGAACCACCUUCGGGACAACCAUUUAUUGACGUAUUCAACGUAUUAUACGACGACUACUACUCUUGCUGCUUUUUUUGAUUCAUACGAUCGAUUCUUCAACUACCAUUACUGCUGUUUUUCCCACACCACUUAGAAAGAUAUAACGAUGAAUGGGCCUAUACAUUCACCUCAUCAUGAAUUAAUCACCGAUCCGUUACAUUACUUGUGCAUACCCACUCGUCUUUAUUCAUGAGGCUGAAGUCUAAAGUUAGAAGACUUCAUGACCAAAAUUUGACCGUCGUAUGUUGAUAGUAAACAGGUUCGGUCGACCAAUUAAGGUAGAAAGAUCAUGAGGCUGAAGUCUAAAACUAGAAGAUCCUGAGAUCUUAAAUUCUAUAAUUCCAAUCAGAAUACACUAAAGGCUUUUAACUUUACCUCCGAGGUAACCACGGAGGUCAAUCAUCUAUAUAUAUUCUUAAAGGUCAUACCAAGUCAAAACCUUUGAGACAACCAAACUUUGAAUAGUUUAAGUUGAGACUUUAUAACUAAACUUUGAUACACCACGGUUAUACUAUCAGUCUAUCACUUCGUAUAGAUUAUUA